CCUUUGUAAUCAUUGACAUUUUCAUAAGUAACUAAUUUAAUUACAAUUUUUCCCCCUAGUAACUGUAACAGAUUACAGUUACAUUUAUUUUGCAAUUAAAUUACGUAAUUUAGUUACAUGUAAACAAUAUGUUAUCAAGUGUCAGGACAAGUUUAUAAUUUUAUGUACGAUGUAAUCGCUGUGUAAUGUGUUUGAUGGGCGCGCGCGUUGAACAGUCGACGCGCAUUUAAACUGGAGUGGAGGGAGUUACCAUUUAAACGGUGCGGCAACACAGCUGACAAGUAGCAAAUCUCUCCGUCUCUCACUGUUGUUUUUACUGCUUUCAGAAAUGGUUCAUUGUCAUGGGAAUAAGUCCGUUAGCAUCACAACCGUGAGCUAACUAUAGAGGCUAACUAUAAGAGGCAUCAAAGAAGCAUUAUGAAAGCUGUAUGGAACGCAGUUUGUCCCGUAUUUAAGGCAUAUGCCGUAUGACCACCUAGACCAUAUGAAUACCAAACUCUAAGGUUCGCCAUGAUAAUGCCAUGAAAAGGCAACUGCUGGACACCUGGGACAGGCCAUCAAUUCCAAGUUGGCGUCAAUUCCCUGUUAGAGUUUAGAGUUGUCUAAUAGAGAGGGUGAAGGAAGAACAUCC
ensembl:lncRNA